AUGUUUAGUAGCCAAUUUUUUACUCAAACUUUAACAGAUUCUUCAAGUACAGAAUCUGUAAGAGAAAUAAAGACAAAUAAAAAAUAUAUGUUUAUGGAAAUUAUUAAAAUGCUUUCAAUCAUGAUUUUAUUUUUUAUUUCUUCUUACUUUGCAUUAUGUUAUAUUUUUAACUAUUUUAUGGGUCAACAUAACAUAUGUGUUAAUCUGGAUUUAUACAAUUAUAAAUACGAAAAUAAUGUACAUUUUAUUCCUAGCAUUAGUAACAACAAGUAUUAUGUUUUUACAGGAAAAUUUCCAUUUGAUGUUAUAACACAUAAACUCAGAAAGGACAUUCUUAAAAAAAGUAUGAAUGAGGAAAUCGUUAAAUAUAACAAUGAAAAUCCAAAAAAUAGUAUUGAUCUAAUUUCUAAUUUAAACGAUGAUGUAAUACAGAUAAUUUCUUUUAAUAGAUCUGAUAAUCAACCGAAAUGUGAAAAAAAAAUUUUUGAUUUAUAUAAACCUUUUUAUUUAAAAACAGUUAGUGCUGAUGUUAAUAUAAAUAAUUUCAAUUUUCUGUUAAAUGAUAUUAACUACAAAUUUAUAACAAAUCCUUAUAACAUUCCUGAACAUAAACUAUACGGAGAAGUAUCAAAAUUUAUGAACAUAAGCGAGAAAAAAAAAUAAAAUUUGUUACAUAACGUCUUAUUUAAAGUCUUUAAAAGAUGAUGACUAUAUAGUGGAAAGUCAUUCAACAUUACUUAAUAACAAUUCAAAUGUAGUUGUAAACGAUAAGAUAGAAAAUGUUUUGAACAAUGAUACAACUAAUAAAAUAAUAGACUUGGAAAAUUCA
ensembl:lncRNA